GUUUGCAGAGUUACAGCAUUUAAUGCUCUGAAAUCCACAGUCAGAUGCAUCUUUCUAUUUCCCUUUAAUACCAGCUCCACAGGGGAAUUACACACACUGGGUCAUUGCACCGGCACUCCUUGAUCCACCAGGCUUUCUGGGCUCGCCUGGGUACUUACAGCGUUUCUGCAGUCUUGGAUCAAGACCUGCUAUUAAAGCAAAGGCAUUAAUCUUCCCAUACUCCAACUUACCUCAAGCUUAUAUUUGCAGAAAGGUAACUGACCCUCAUCCCAAGCUGUUCUGACUAUUCCAGGAGCCUUUACAGGAAAACAUCAUUUUGUAGGCUGCACAGCUUCUUCACAGACAUGCUGUUGACCCUGCGAAGCACACGGAAAAAAGAUCUUCCUGCCCUUCUCUGAUCCCAGGGUUCACACUGCCCGUCCCUGCCUGUCAACCAGGGGCUGGUGGCUGAAGGACCGUGCAGAGGAGCAGCUGCCCAUGAAGGUGAACAUACAACAUUGUAAAGCUGCUGCAUCCACACUGGUGUGUCUGUGAGCAAGCUACGUGUCUCCCAGACCCUUCCUUUUAACUGUGUUGACAGAGGUCUCAGCCAAACUCACCAAAUCAAUGUGGUUCCUUUCUGAACAUGAUUUCAGCAACAGAGAAUAACCACCUACAGCUGCAGUACCCAGAUAAUAAAUUCUGUUCCUCCUGGCAUCACCUGUCCAAAUCCUAACCCUACACGGUCCUUAAGCCAUGGCAAUGUCACAUGAGAGAGGUCACAGCAGGGCUCAGGAACACCUGGGAAUGCUGUUUGCAUCUCUGUCAGCUCCAGGGUCCCGAAUGCCUCCAUCACACAGAGCAUCUGCCUGAUGCUCUGACUGUUGCCAUGUCAGAGCAGUGGGUAAAGGUCCUCUCCUCUCCAGUGGAGAGGAGGUGUGGAACUGGCAGGCAAUUCACUGAUUUCAGCAUUGAAACACGUGGGGAUCUUGCAUGACUUCCCUGGUGCUCCUGCUGGAGGACAAAGCUUGGAAGAUGUGCUGUACGGCACAGCACAUGAGGAACGGGGAGAUGGGGAAGCGGAGGGAAGAAGAACAAAGGCUGAAAGAAAAGCAAAAACCCCUCCCAAGAAUGCCACCAACAUCCUCCUAUUCAGCUGUUUGCAUUAGGAGAAUAUUUCAGUUUUGACUGCUCAAGUGUGUUGUUUUGUUUACCUUGGGGACUUUUAGGGCAAAUUAUAAAAAAAGGCCAGUUUGCUUCACUCUCAUUUUUAGACAGUUUCGCUUUCAGCUUCCUCUGCACAAACAACAUGCUACAAUUUGGGGGCUGCAAAGGCUGCAGGGAGAUAUUGAUUUCCUCACAAUAACACUAAAACAGUUCGACCCAACAUUUUCUGAAGGCUUUUACAAAACAUACAUUUUGAGGGACAAGUUUGGCUUGACAGACUUCUUUUAAAGAGAGCUACCUUUCUUGCAGCCACCUUAGAACCCUUAGUUACUGCUUUAUAUUACAAAAAGACAAUUGUAAAUGCGAGAAAUUUCUCAGGUAAAUUCCCUCUAAUGUUUCAGAUCAUCUGGCUAUGUGAAAACCUGCACUGUAACGCAAGAAAAAUUCCAA